GACGAACGCUGGCGGCGUGCUUAACACAUGCAAGUCGUACGGUAAGGCCCUUUCGGGGGUACACGAGUGGCGAACGGGUGAGUAACACGUGAGUAACCUGCCCACAACUUUGGGAUAACUUCAGGAAACUGGGGCUAAUACCGGAUAGGAGCUCCUGCUGCAUGGUGGGGGUUGGAAAGUUUCGGCGGUUGGGGAUGGACUCGCGGCUUAUCAGCUUGUUGGUGGGGUAGUGGCUUACCAAGGCUUUGACGGGUAGCCGGCCUGAGAGGGUGACCGGCCACAUUGGGACUGAGAUACGGCCCAGACUCCUACGGGAGGCAGCAGUGGGGAAUAUUGCACAAUGGGCGGGAGCCUGAUGCAGCAACGCCGCGUGCGGGAUGACGGCCUUCGGGUUGUAAACCGCUUUCGCCUGUGACGAAGCGUGAGUGACGGUAAUGGGUAAAGAAGCACCGGCUAACUACGUG
rnacentral:rRNA from 1 species